GGGACCCAACUACUUGGUAAUGAGGGAAGUUGGGUUUAGAUGAGGGACUAUUAAGUUUCAUAAAACUUAAGGUAAAUUUGUUAAGAAUGCAUGACUAGCUGCUAUACAUACGAUAGAACUUUAAAAUAGUAGUCAUUUUGAUUUUUGAAAGUCCUCGUUUAGUGUUUUGAGUAGUUCAAAGUUUGAUUGCAGUAUUUUUUAAGAAUCUCAAAAUUUCUUGGGCCUCCAAACAUAGCAUAAAAAAAUUUCACAAC
rnacentral:lncRNA from 1 species